GUGGUUGUGGCUCAAUGGUAAAGCACUUACCUAGCAUACGCAAAGCCCUGGGUUUGAUCCCCAGCACUACA
rnacentral:tRNA from 1 species